AAAAGAGAGAUGGGAGACGGGAAGGUGAAGGUUAAGGACGUAAGGAGUCAGGGACAUAAGAAACAGAAAUAAAAGAGAGAUGGGAGACGGGAAGGUGAAGGUGAAGGACAUAAGGAGUCAGGGACAUAAGAAACAGAAAUAAAAGAGAGAUGGGAGACGGGAAGGUGAAGGACAUAAGGAGUCAGGGACAUAAGAUCCAGAAAUAAAAGAGAGAUGGGAGACGGGAAGGUGAAGGAUGUAAGGAGUCAGGGACAUAAGAACCAGAAAUAAAAGAGAGAUGGGAAGUUGAAGGAUGUAAGGAGUCAGGGACAUAAGAACCAGAAAUAAAAGAGAGAUGGGAAGGUGAAGGAUGUAAGGAGUCAGGGAGAUAAGAACCAGAAAUAAAAUAGAGAUGUGAGACAGGAAGGUGAAGGAUGUAAGGAGUCAGGGACAUAAGAACCAGAAAUAAAAGAGAGAUGGUAAGGUGAAGGACAUAAGGAGUCAGGGACAUAAGAACCAGAAAUAAAAGAGAGAUGGGAAGGUGAAGAAUGUAAGGAGUCAGGGACAUAAGAACCAGAAAUAAAAGAGAGAUGGGAGACGGGAAGGUGAAGGACAUAAGGAGUCAGGGACAUAAGAACCAGAAAUAAAAGAGAGAUGGGAAGGUGAAGGAUGUAAGGAGUCAGGGACAUAAGAACCAGAAAUAAAAGAGAGAUGGGAGACGGGAAGGUGAAGGACGUAAGGAGUCAGGGACAUAAGAACCAGAAAUAAAAGAGAGAUGGGAGACGGGAAGGUGUAGUCAAUAAGGAGUCAGGGACAUAAGAACCAGAAAUAAAAGAGAGAUGGGAGAAGGGAAGGUGAAGGACGUAAGGAGUCAGGGACAUAAGAACCAGAAAUAAAAGAGAGAUGGGAGACGGGAAGGUGAAGGAUGUAAGGAGUCAGGGACAUAAGAACCAGAAAUAAAAGAGAGAUGGGA
rnacentral:lncRNA from 1 species